CAAAAACAACCUAUGUUAGAAGGUUGCCACUGUUUCUUCCAAGACAGAGCCAGUCACUCGCGGAGCAACUUUUGAUGUGGCCUGUGUGUCUCACCACUCCUAGAUGCCUGAGUGCUUACAUGUGAAAGCAGCAGCUUCCCACUUGCUGGGAGAGCCUUCUGGCACGGCCCUUCCGAUCCUACUAAACAGGGCACGUGGGUGGGAAGAGUGAGGACAGGAGGCAGAAGGGGGCUGGUGUGGGAAGGAGUGGAGGCUGAUCUCAGCGCACUCCUAGCAGCCUCUGUGGAAGGGUCUCAAGUGACCCUUGAGAUAGUGAGUUGUCAGUGUGAAAGGGAAGUCCUUGGGAUCAUUUGUGCCCCCCUUCCUUUCUAUCCUCCACCCCCACCACA
rnacentral:lncRNA from 1 species